GUUGUAUGGUUAAGUGACUAAGCGUACACGGUGGAUGCCUGGGCAGUCAGAGGCGAUGAAGGACGUACUAACUUGCGAUAAGCGCAGAUAAGGCAGUAAGAGCCGUUUGAGUCUGCGAUUUCCGAAUGGGGAAACCCAACUGCAUAAGCAGUUACUGUUAACUGAAUCCAUAGGUUAACAGAGCAAACCGGGGGAACUGAAACAUCUAAGUACCCCGAGGAGAAGAAAUCAACCGAGAUUCCGGUAGUAGCGGCGAGCGAACCUGGAUUAGCCCUUAAGCACUCGUUGAAGUAGGUGAACAAGCUGGAAAGCUUGGCGAUACAGGGUGAUAGCCCCGUAACCGACGCUUCAUCGAGCGUGAAAUCGAGUAGGGCGGGACACGUGAUAUCCUGUCUGAAUAUGGGGGGACCAUCCUCCAAGGCUAAAUACUCCUGACUGACCGAUAGUGAACCAGUACCGUGAGGGAAAGGCGAAAAGAACCCCUGUGAGGGGAGUGAAAUAGAACCUGAAACCGUGUACGUACAAGCAGUAGGAGCACCUUCGUGGUGUGACUGCGUACCUUUUGUAUAAUGGGUCAGCGACUUAUAUUCAGUGGCAAGGUUAACCGUAUAGGGGAGCCGUAGCGAAAGCGAGUCUUAACUGGGCGUUCAGUCUCUGGAUAUAGACCCGAAACCGGGUGAUCUAGCCAUGGGCAGGUUGAAGGUUGAGUAACAUCAACUGGAGGACCGAACCGACUAAUGUUGAAAAAUUAGCGGAUGACUUGUGGCUAGGGGUGAAAGGCCAAUCAAACUCGGAGAUAGCUGGUUCUCCCCGAAAGCUAUUUAGGUAGCGCCUCGGACGAAUACUACUGGGGGUAGAGCACUGUUAAGGCUAGGGGGUCAUCCCGACUUACCAACCCUUUGCAAACUCCGAAUACCAGUAAGUACUAUCCGGGAGACACACGGCGGGUGCUAACGUCCGUCGUGGAGAGGGAAACAACCCAGACCGCCAGCUAAGGUCCCAAAGUAUUGCUAAGUGGGAAACGAUGUGGGAAGGCUCAGACAGCUAGGAUGUUGGCUUAGAAGCAGCCAUCAUUUAAAGAAAGCGUAAUAGCUCACUAGUCGAGUCGGCCUGCGCGGAAGAUGUAACGGGGCUAAGCAAUACACCGAAGCUGCGGCAAUAUCUUUUAGAUAUUGGGUAGGGGAGCGUUCUGUAAGCCGUUGAAGGUG
rnacentral:rRNA from 1 species